rnacentral:rRNA from 1 species
AUGAUUGGUAUCUUUUGGAAUAUUAGAGGUUUGGGCCAAAAAGGGAAACUACAGUGCCUGUCUGACUUAGUUAACAAGUAUAAGCCUAAUUUUUUAGGAUUUCAAGAAAUUAAGAGAGAGACCUUGUCUGACUCUUUUCUCAAUGCCCUAGCUGGCUCUAUUGCUUAUGAUUGGCAUAUGCUACCUGCUGUAGGCUCUGCUGGGGGUAUCCUUGUGGGUACUAAAUCUGAUCUUUUUGAGGUGCUUAGUGUUAGUAAUAAGAAUUAUUGCAUUAUCAUAACCUUAAAAAACAAAAAUGAUGGUUUCUGCUGGCAUUUGAUUGUGGUUUAUGGCACAGCUUAUGCUGUAGACAAACUUGACUUUCUUGCUGAACUACAUGAAAGUAUGGAUGACUUGUGCUAUCCUGUCCUAUUUGGGGGUGACUUCAAUCUGAUUAGAGAGGCUAAAGAUAAAUCCUCAGACAAUAUAAACACUUCUUGGACAUUCUUGUUCAAUGACUGGAUAAAUAAAUGGGGCCUUAUGGAGUAUAAGCUGUCUAACAGGGUUUAUACCUGGAGUAAUAAUCAGGACAAUCCCAUCUUUGCCACUAUUGACAGAGUUUUCUCUGCUACUAGCUGGGACAUUCACUUCCCUCUCACCACUUUGUGUGCACUACCUAGGGUGGGAAGUGACCAUGCCCCAAUUCUCCUUGACUCUGGGGUGGGUACUUGUAACCCAUCCAGACCCUUUAAAUUUGAGAAGUGGUGGCUGGAACAACCAGAUUUCGAGCCUUGGUAG